rnacentral:rRNA from 1 species
AUACGUAGGGGGCGAGCGUUGUCCGGAAUGAUUGGGCGUAAAGGGCGCGUAGGCGGCCCGGUAAGUCUGGAGUGAAAGUCCUGUUUUUAAGAUGGGAAUUGCUUUGGAUACUGUCGGGCUUGAGUGCAGGAGAGGUAAGUGGAAUUCCCAGUGUCGCGGUGAAAUGCGUAUAGAUUUGGAGGAACACCAGUGGCGAAGGCGACUUAAUGGACUGUAACCGCCGCUGACGCGCGAAAGUGUUGGGAGGAGACAGGAUUAGAUACCCUGGUAGUCCUCACUGUAAACGAUGAAUGCUAGGUGUAGGCGGUAUCGACCCUUUCUGUGCCGCAGUCAACACAAUAAGCAUUCCGCCUGGGGAGUUCGGCCGCAAGGUUGAAACUCAAAGGAAUUGACGGGG